UAGGGAAUAUUGCGCAAUGGAGGAAACUCUGACGCAGCGACGCCGCGUGGGUGAUGAAGGCCUUCGGGUCGUAAAGCCCUGUCGGAAGGGACGAAAAAUAUAACGACUAACAUUCGUUGUACUUGACGGUACCUUCAAAGGAAGCACCGGCUAACUACGUGCCAGCAGCCGCGGUAAUACGUAGGGUGCUAGCGUUGUUCGGAAUCAUUGGGCGUAAAGCGCGUGUAGGCGGUUAGGUAAGUCUUGUGUGAAAUCCCUGGGCUCAACCGAGGAAGUGCAUGGGAAACUACCUAGCUAGAAGACGGUAGAGGAAGGUGGAAUUCCUAGUGUAGAGGUGAAAUUCGUAGAUAUUAGGAGGAAUACCGGUGGCGAAGGCGGCCUUCUGGACCGAUUUUGACGCUGAGACGCGAAAGCGUGGGGAGCAAACAGGAUUAGAUACCCCCGUAGUCC
rnacentral:rRNA from 1 species